ACUCGAUAAUCCACGCAUACUCAACCUUCUCUUGAUAUUGCAGCAUGUGUACUGCCGUUGUAAGUAUACCUUUAAAAGAAUAAGUAUGCCACUAUGAUUAAAUAAACUAACUCAUAUACAUCAGGUCAAAGUGCAGCUAAUAAGGAGGUGAUGAUGGGUUACAACCCAAAAAUAGAAUAUCAAAUAAGAGAUAAAAAAUCUUACGAAAGUGGACUUGGCCGUAAUUAAUUUACAAGUUAAAAAAAUGAAUAAAAAUCUAAGACAUGUACACAUCGCCCGUCACUCUAUCCUAAAGGUUAGAUAAGUCGUAACAAAGUAGGUGUAAUGGAAAUUGCACCUGUCGAAGCAUAGCAUAUAUAAUGCUUUUUACUUACACUAAAAAUAAAGUUAAAUAACUUGCUUCGCCCACAUAACACGAUCCUAUAAAUUAAUAAUAAUACAAACAAUUAAACAAAUAUUAAUAAAAAACAAAGUACAGAAAUGGAACUAAUAAUAGAUUAAAGUAAAUGUUAAAAAUUGUACCUUGUGCAUUAUGGUUUUACAAGAAAAUAAUUAAAAAUACAAAUCCCGAAUUCUAAGUGAGAUGUUAAACUGCUGUUAUGAACUCAUUAAUAACUGUAGAAAAAGCUUUAAAAGACAGCUUAACAGAGGCUACAUACCAUCCGCACAAGAAUAUAGCUGGUUUUCAACAAAUAUUAUACAUUAAAACAUAUAACUACAUUAUAUUGUUAUGUUAUUGAGGAUAAGCCCAAUAACCAAAGCAAUUAUAAAACAAAUCAAUAUUAUUUUAUAGGCCUAAAAACAGCCAACUAAAACACUUUAUCGUAAUUAAUAAUGAUGUAAUAUAUAUAUAAUAUACAUAUAUGCUAAAAAAAGUUGAAAUAAAGAAUAAACCAUAAAAUUCAACUUUACUAUGUAAAAAUAAGUAUUAUAUAGCUAAAAUAAUAAAAUAUAGAAAUCAACAACAUAUAAAACAAUAAUAAUUAAUUAAGGAACUCGGCAAACCAUUGUUUCGACUGUUUAACAAAAACAUUGUCUCAUGAAAAUAAAUAUGAGAUAAUACCUGCCCA
rnacentral:rRNA from 1 species